rnacentral:rRNA from 1 species
GACGAACGCUGGCGGCGUGCUUAACACAUGCAAGUCGAACGGAAAGGCCCUGCUUUUGUGGGGUGCUCGAGUGGCGAACGGGUGAGUAACACGUGAGUAACCUGCCCUUGACUUUGGGAUAACUUCAGGAAACUGGGGCUAAUACCGGAUAGGAGCUCCUGCUGCAUGGUGGGGGUUGGAAAGUUUCGGCGGUUGGGGAUGGACUCGCGGCUUAUCAGCUUGUUGGUGGGGUAGUGGCUUACCAAGGCUUUGACGGGUAGCCGGCCUGAGAGGGUGACCGGCCAAAUGGGGACUGGGGAGCGGCCCAGCCCCCCACGGGGGGGAGGGGGGGGGAAUUUGGCACAAGGGGCGGAAGCCUGAUGGAACAACGCCGGGGGGGGGAUGACGGCCUUCGGGUUGUAAACCGCUUUCGCCUGGGACGAAGCGGGGUGGAGGGAAAUGGGUAAAGAAGCACCGGCUAACUACGG